AAUGUGGCGGAUUUCCCCUCUUUUGCAAUUAGUUUCGCUAAAGCACCUGCUGCUCUAGCUAAUUGUCCACCCUUUCCAAGUGUGAUUUCUAUGUUAUGCAUGGCUGUGCCUAAGGGCGUAUCGGCUGAAGUAGAUUCUUCUUUUUAAUUAAUCAAACCCUUUUUCUAUCUCAUUGGUCCUUAUUUCAGCAUAUCAUUUAUGCCGAAUUCACUAUUAUACAUAUACAUAUAUCACUAUCAAGAGUUUCUAUUAUUUCAAUCUUUCGAUUCAAAAGAAUAUAGAAACUUUAAAGACAAACGAAAAUGGGGUUGCGCCAUACAAAUAAAAGAGUAUACAAUAAUAUUGUAUAUGGUAAAUCAAAAACCAUGUUAAAAGAAUGAACCAUUCUGAUUAGUUGAUAAUUUUGUAAAAGGAUUUCUGUAAAAGGUUUCAUUAACUCCUAAAUCUCAGGGCUCAACACUCGACAAGUGGUGGGAACUACCAAGCUUAAGUAAGAUAGGGGCAGAGGGAAUUUUUGGUGGAGCGGUGAAAUGCGUAAUGAUCGGAAAGAACACCAACGACGAAAGUACUCUGCUGGCCUGACACUGAAAGAAGAAAUCUAGGGGAGCGAAUGAGAUUAGAUACCCAAGGAGUCCUAGCCAUAAACGAUGGAUACUAGGUGUUGUGUGUAUCGAUUUGUGCAGUGCUAUAGCUAAUACAUUAAGUAUCCUGCUUGGGGAGUCCUUUUGCAAGAAUGAAACUCAAAAGAAUUGACGAGGCCUGCACAAGCGGUGGAGCAUGUGGUUUAAUUUGAUGCAAAGCGAAGAACAUUACCAGAGCUUGACAUGCCGCGAAUCCUCUUGAAAGAGAGGGGUUCCUUCGGGAACACAGGCAUAGGUGGUGCAUGGUUGUCGUCAGCUCGUGUCAUAAGGUGUUAUGUUAAGUCCUGCAACGAGCGCAACCCUCGUGUUUAGUUGCCACCGUUUAGGUUGGAAUCCUGAGCAGACUACUGGUGAUAAGUCGGAGGAAGGUGAGGAUGACAUCAAGUCAUCAUGCCCCUUCUGCCUUGGGCGACACACCUGCUACAAUGGUUGGGACAAAGGGUCGUGAUCUUGUGAGGGUGAGCUAACUCCAAAAACUCGUCCUCAGUUUGGAUUGUAGGCUGCAACUCGCUUGCAUGAAGCCAGAAUCACUAGUAAUUGCCGGUCACCCAUACAACAAUGAAUUCAUUUAUGAGCCCUGUACAAACUUCCCGUCACACUAUGGGAGGGGCCCAUGCCCGAAGUCGUUACCUUAACUGCAAGGAGGGAGAUGCCGAAAGCAGAGCUAGUGAGUGGAGUGAAGUCGUCACAAGGUAGCCGUACUGGAAGGUGAGGCUA
rnacentral:rRNA from 1 species